AGAGAGGUUGAAGGAGGCUCCUCCUCCAGAGGGGGCUGAGAUCUUACCCAGGGUGACAUCUUCAUGAUAAAACCAGUACAGGAUUGGGGAGGAGCCUCUCAGGGCCUCACAGUGAAGCUCCAGCUGGUCCCCCACCACAGCCUGGGCCCUGGGAGCCCUGAAGGUGAGGAUGGGACGAGACACUGGAACUGAGGGAGGAAAAACGUUAUGUAUCAGCUGCUUCUGCUAAAAUAUAUUCCUUCAUGCUAAAGACAUUUCAAAUGGAAGAAUGUUUUUCUCAGUUUUUAAUGCCCUUGUGACAUUACUCAAAACUCAGCAACAUUUUCAGAUCUCCAGAAAGAACAACAUUUGUGUAGUGCUAUAAACAGCUUGGAAUACUGGAAUAUACAAACUCAAAUGUGUUUGAAGAAUGUGAAAACAAAGAUUAAACUGAAACUCAGGUGUCUUAGAGGUAAAAAGACAGUUGGAGAGUGGAGAAAUCAGUUCAACAGAAAAUGAAGAACAAGAGAGACUUGCUGCUUACAUCACCAGGGAUGUAAUUGCAUCUGGGCUGCAUCAGAAAUAGGGCCCACAAGAGAAUGAGUAUUGUCAAGUUAUUUGCUCAUUUUUACAUUCAUUUAUCCAUCAAAAAUUAAUUGAACAAAAAUUUUCAAAAAAAUUGAGCAAAAAUAAAAAUUAAUUGAGCAUUUAAUAAGUCCCCAAAAUGGCAUGACAUGCUAGGGAAUCAGUGAUGAGAAAGACAUAGUUGCUGCUCUCAUAGAGCCUACAAUCCAGAAGGAUGAGAGGCAGCAAUUAAAUAAAAAUACAGUAAAUUACAAUUAAAACUUUGAUAAUUGAUAAAGGACAGGGUACUAUGAAAUGUAUGUGUUAGUCAAGGAAAGCUUCCUCACAAAAUGACCUUUGAAAUUAACAUUGAAAUUAACCAGUUGAUGAUGGAGGUGGAGAGUGCACCAGGCAGGCAAACAGUAUGUGCAAAGGCCCUGAGUUGGGAAUAAGACUGGCGCAUUUGAAUUAUUGAAAUAAAGUAGCAUCACACUGAGAAGAGUCUGCAAACUACCAUGAAAUAGGAGACUGGAGAUCUAGGCUGGACUUCAUAAGCCAUGAAAGGAUUUUCAUCCUUCUUCACAGAGCAAUGGGAAGUCUAUCAGUCUAUCUAUGCAGGGCUGUGAGAUGAUCAAAUCUGUCCCUUUUAAAAGACCAUUUUGACCUCUGUGCAUGAAAUGGACUGUGGUGGAAUGGAAGUGGAAUUGAGGGAUAGAUGAGUGGCACUGCAGUAGUCAAAAUGAUGGUGGACUUGUCUAGAUAGAGGUGGUAGAGAUAGAGACCCAAGAAAUAUUUAGGAAGUCAAAUCAACAGGACUUAAUGAUUAACUGGCUGUGAGGGGUGAGGAAGAGAAAUGUUGAGGAAGACUCCUCUUUUCCUGCUUUGUGUAUCUGUUGAGAAGAGAUGUGUUUCACAGAGGUAGGAACCCUUGAAAGAGGAAGGGAAUGUCAGCAGUUCAGUUUUAGAAAUGCUGAGAUUGAUGUGCUUUUGAGAUAUUUGAGUGAAGAUAUGUCAUGUGCAGAUGCUCAAGUGGGAGGUCCCUUUUAGAGAUAGAAGUUUAGGAAUCAUUAUUUAUAGAUGACAAGGCCAUUUAUACAUGACAUACCCAGGAUCAUCCAGAGAAAGGAUUUAGAUAAGAGAAGAGGGCAUAAGUCAAAGUUCUGGAACAUGCCAAUGCUUAAAGGUUUUCUAUAAAAGGAGGAGCCAGUAAAGAAGACUGAGAAGAAGUGGCCAGGGAGAGAAGAGAGCCAGAAGAAGAUAGAUUCACUGAAGGGAGGGUUUCAAGCAGGAAGAAAUGGUAAACAACAUGUAAUAUAUCUGAGAUGUCAAGGAAGAUGAGGAUUGAAAAAUGGCCAUUGGAUUUAAAGCCUUGAAGGUCAUCAGUGACCUUUGUGAGAAACAUUUUGGUGGAGAGGUUGGAAAAACCUAGUAGAUUGGAGCCUAGUGGAUAAUGAGGACAUGGAGACAGUCUGGGUAACUGACUGUUUUUGGAAGUUUAGCCAUGAAGGGGUAGUGUAUGGAGGUAUAAGUGGGACCAAGAGAGGGUUUUCCUUGGAUAUGGGAGAGAUAUACCAUGUUACAUGCCAGUGCAAAGGAUCCUACAGAGACAGAGAUGUUGGGGGCCACAGAAGAGAAAGGGAUAAUCAGUUACAUAGCUUCUGAGAAUGCACAAAAUGAUGAAAUCUGGAGACCAGAUGGAGAUGUUCACCUAUGGGGAGGGAAGUCCUCUCCUCUAUAUUUUAGGAAAAGGACAGAUGAGUUACUGGGUGGAUACAGAACUAGACACUCAAUUUGGUGGUGGGAGUGGAGGGGUUAUUGUCUAGUGGAGUAGGAAUUAGUGGAGGUAUUAAUGACCUGGGAGUUCUGUUGAGGUCUGAGAACAAUAGUGAUAGGAGGAGCUGACGCAAGCAGAAGGCCAGGGGGUGGUUGUCAAAUAAUAAGGGCUUAAAAUUGUCCUUUUGGAGAUGAAGUAGUGUAUGUAUGUGGGAGUGGCUGACUGGUGUGGAGAGGACAGGCCAUGGUGUUAAGGGGGUUAUACAUGUGACCAUGAGAGUCAUGAAAUGAUGGCAGAUUGUGGAGUAUGGAGAAAGACUGAAAGUACAGUGCCAAAGCCUUCACUGAGAGUGAGCAUAACUAGGAGUCUGCCUGUGACAAGGAUGCAUGGAAGAUCUUGAUGUUGCUGAAUGGAACAGGAGCAGGUAAGGAGGCAGAAGAAUUAUGUCUUCUAACAAGGGUCUUGGGUGGGAACCCAACCCACUCUGGGACAGGGGCAGGAGAGGCUAGAGAGAAAUGUGUGAGCCAAUAAGAGAAUUGUGUUGGCCUUUUUAUUGAUUGGCAGACAGAGAAAACCACAACUAAAUCUCUUCCAAGGUGAAGCACACAGAACUUUAUAACUUUCUUUCUUACUAUCACUGUUGGCCAGAAUAUAGUUUGUAUUUUGAAAGCCUUUACUCCUAUAUUAGGGGAAUUUUGGUCGUGGUGGCUUGACUGCUGCUAGCAGGAAAAGUACAGCAAGGGAAGGGAAGGUGCAAGUUCCCGAACGUGUAGGAUACAAAACUCAGAGAUGGAGGCUGUGUAGGCACCAAGCCUGACAGGAUGUCACACAGCAAAUGACUCUAGAAACUGUACCUCUGAUCUUGGCUACUGGUAAAGUUAGGGGAGAUGGUCUUUUUAUUUUUGUGCUGCUGGUUAGGUCAACUUACCUAUAACACUGAGUGAUAUUGUGUCACUGUGCUGGGCCACUAGGCCAUUGUUGGCCUCACAUGAGUAGUUUCCAGAAUGUUCUGCAGUCAGAGAGAGGUUGAAAGAAGCUUCUCCUCCAGAGGGGGCUGAGCUGCUCCCCAGGGUGACAUCCUCAUGAUAAAACCAGUACAGGAUUGGGGGAGAGCCUCUUGGGGCCUCACAGUGAAGCUCCAGCAGGUCCCCCACCACAGUGUGGGCCCUGGGAGCCCUGAAGGAGACCUUAGUGGCUGACAGAGAACCUAAACCCUGGCUUGCAACUCUAGGCUGUGUGAAAGGAAUCGGAACUUACUUCUCACGGUGACUCGAAUCCACGUGCUGAGGAUGGGGCUGUGAACGUUAUCAGCUGCACAGUAGUAUCUCCCUGCAUCACUCUCCUUCACGGUGAGAACAUGCAGCUCUGCCAACAGGGAACGCUGGGUCUUUCUACCCAGGCUUCUUACUCUUCCUUCUUUGUGCCAGGAGAAUGUGACAGUCCCUGAACCCUGGGCUACUGAGCAAAUAAGGACCAUAUUUUCUCCUUCAAUCAGCUGCCCUCCAGUGGGCCGGAUCUCUAGAUUCACAUUAGACACAGGGACUCCUGGGGGAACACAAGAUGGCAUGUGAAGGUCCUGAUGGCAGGGACAUCAAGGUCAAGGGGAAGGCUGGAGCUACCAUGAAUAGGCCAAUAGCAGCAGGUGCAGCAGGCAGAAGCCCAAAGUAGGAAAUAAAUUAAUUGUGUAUACGAUUAUAAAGGAAGCAACAUCCCUCUCACUCCCACAACAUUCCCAUCCUUGAGAAAUGUGGGCACCAAGUCCAUAAUCUCCAGAAACCCAAUGUUUUCUGGUCACAUUUUAUAUGCAUUUAUCUCUAAGGAAUCUUUGAUGCAUCAAUAAAC
rnacentral:lncRNA from 1 species